rnacentral:rRNA from 1 species
AGUGAACGCUGGCGGUAGGCAUAACACAUGCAAGUCGAACGGCAGCGCAGUAAGAGCUUGCUCUUAUGGGUGGCGAGUGGCGGACGGGUGAGGAAUACAGCGGAAUCUACUUUUUCGUGGGGGAUAACGUAGGGAAACUUACGCUAAUACCGCAUACGACCUACGGGUGAAAGCAGGGGAUCUUCGGACCUUGCGCGAUUGAACGAGUCGAUGUCGGAUUAGCUAGUUGGCGGGGCAAAGGCCCACCAAGGCGACGAUCCGUAGCUGGUCUGAGAGGAUGAUCAGCCACACUGGAACUGAGACACGGUCCAGACUCCUACGGGAGGCAGCAGUGGGGAAUAUUGGACAAUGGGCGCAAGCCUGAUCCAGCCAUACCGCGUGGGUGAAGAAGGCCUUCGGGUUGUAAAGCCCUUUUGUUGGGAAAGACAAGCAGCAGGUUAAUACCCCGCUGUUCUGGCGGUAGCCAAUGUAUAAGCGCCGGAUAACUUCGUG